GGUUAAGCGACUAAGCGUACACGGUGGAUGCCCUGGCAGUCAGAGGCGAUGAAGGACGUGCUAAUCUGCGAAAAGCGCCGGCGAGGUGAUAUGAACCUUUGACCCGGCGAUGUCCGAAUGGGGAAACCCAGUGCAAUUCGUUGCACUAUCGUUAACUGAAUACAUAGGUUAACGAGGCGAACCGGGGGAACUGAAACAUCUAAGUACCCCGAGGAAAAGAAAUCAACCGAGAUUCCCCCAGUAGCGGCGAGCGAACGGGGAGCAGCCCAGAGUCUGAAUCAGCUUGUGUGUUAGUGGAACGGUCUGGAAAGUCCGGCGAUACAGGGUGACAGCCCCGUACACGAAAGCACACAGGCUGUGAACUCGAAGAGUAGGGCGGGACACGUGGUAUCCUGUCUGAAUAUGGGGGGACCAUCCUCCAAGGCUAAAUACUCCUGACUGACCGAUAGUGAACCAGUACCGUGAGGGAAAGGCGAAAAGAACCCCGGCGAGGGGAGUGAAAAAGAACCUGAAACCGUGUACGUACAAGCAGUGGGAGCACCUUCGUGGUGUGACUGCGUACCUUUUGUAUAAUGGGUCAGCGACUUAUAUUCUGUAGCAAGGUUAACCGUAUAGGGGAGCCGAAGGGAAACCGAGUCUUAACUGGGCGUUAAGUUGCAGGGUAUAGACCCGAAACCCGGUGAUCUAGCCAUGGGCAGGUUGAAGGUUGGGUAACACUAACUGGAGGACCGAACCGACUAAUGUUGAAAAAUUAGCGGAUGACUUGUGGCUGGGGGUGAAAGGCCAAUCAAACCGGGAGAUAGCUGGUUCUCCCCGAAAGCUAUUUAGGUAGCGCCUCGUGAACUCAUCUUCGGGGGUAGAGCACUGUUUCGGCUAGGGGGCCAUCCCGGCUUACCAACCCGAUGCAAACUACGAAUACCGAAGAAUGUUAUCACGGGAGACACACGGCGGGUGCUAACGUCCGUCGUGAAGAGGGAAACAACCCAGACCGCCAGCUAAGGUCCCAAAGUCAUGGUUAAGUGGGAAACGAUGUGGGAAGGCACAGACAGCCAGGAUGUUGGCUUAGAAGCAGCCAUCAUUUAAAGAAAGCGUAAUAGCUCACUGGUCGAGUCGGCCUGCGCGGAAGAUGUAACGGGGCUAAACCAUGCACCGAAGCUGCGGCAGCGACGCUUAGGCGUUGUUGGGUAGGGGAGCGUUCUGUAAGCCGUUGAAGGUGUGCUGUGAGGCAUGCUGGAGGUAUCAGAAGUGCGAAUGCUGACAUAAGUAACGAUAAAGCGGGUGAAAAGCCCGCUCGCCGGAAGACCAAGGGUUCCUGUCCAACGUUAAUCGGGGCAGGGUGAGUCGACCCCUAAGGCGAGGCCGAAAGGCGUAGUCGAUGGGAAACAGGUUAAUAUUCCUGUACUUGGUGUUACUGCGAAGGGGGGACGGAGAAGGCUAUGUUAGCCGGGCGACGGUUGUCCCGGUUUAAGCAUGUAGGCGGA
rnacentral:rRNA from 1 species